UGUCGUGUCUCGUCAUGUGUGUUCGGGGGUUCCUCUAUUCUUGUAUUUGCUCUUUUCUCUCCUGAUGUUGCUUUGCUUCUCUUCAUGUCCGUAGACUCUUCGCGUUGUGUGGUGGUAUGUUUGUGUGUAACAACGGAACUUUCGCUGCAAGGUUGGAGGGGGUGGGCGUCGAGUGUGUUGUUUAUCAGCUGUGAUCUGUGCGUGUGAAACUUUUUCGGUGUGCUGAAACGGAUUCAAAAAUCUGUUUGCUCUACAAAGUCGAUGAGUGCAUCUAAUCAGUUCUGCAGCGCCAUGGUGAACGUUGAGAGGUGUUAGCACGGAAGACAGAGCGGGAAAAGGUUCACGACAACUAUGCGGUGAGGAGGAUAUCAACGGAUUGUGCAUUUACAGUUAGUGGGUGAGCACACGCUGUACCUCGUAGGAGAACCUGGCCAUGGGUAUCGGAGAAUGCAUAUCGUAUGCCGGAAUCGUGCUUG